UACGUAGGGCGCAAGCGUUAUCCGGAAUUAUUGGGCGUAAAGAGCUCGUAGGCGGUUUGUCGCGUCUGCCGUGAAAGUCCGGGGCUCAACUCCGGAUCUGCGGUGGGUACGGGCAGACUAGAGUGAUGUAGGGGAGACUGGAAUUCCUGGGUGUAGCGGUGAAAUGCGUAGAGAUCGGGAGGAACACCAGUGGCGAAGGCGACUACCUGGCCUGUUCUUGACGCUGAGGCGCGAAAGCUAGGGGAGCAACGGGG
rnacentral:rRNA from 1 species